UACGUAGGGGGCUAGCGUUGUCCGGAAUCAUUGGGCGUAAAGAGCGUGUAGGCGGCCCGGUAAGUCCGCUGUGAAAGUCGGGGGCUCAACCCUCGAAUGCCGGUGGAUACUGUCGGGCUAGAGUGCGGAAGAGGCGAGUGGAAUUCCCGGUGUAGCGGUGAAAUGCGCAGAUAUCAGGAGGAACACCGAUGGCGAAGGCAGCUCGCUGGGACGGUACUGACGCUGAGGCGCGAAAGCGUGGGGAGCAAACAGG
rnacentral:rRNA from 1 species